AGGAGAAGUCUGCUGCUCUGCAGGAUGUUUCAAGGAUGGGGUCCAACAAUGCAGCAAGAGAGACAAUCCGUGAGCGGGAGCUCUUCAUCUCCUACUUCUUCGAAGAGGGUGCUGUUCCCUGGCAACACUAUAGACUACACUAUGCACAACCAAAGGCUCUUUUAACCUCUUGGGGCUAGGGGGCACGAUCUUCAUUUUUGGAAAAAUAACGUUCCCAAAGUAAACGGGCUAUUUCUCAGGACCAGAUGCUACAAUAUGCAUAUAAUUGACAGCUUAGGAUAGAAAACACUAAAAUUUCCAAAACUGUAAAAAAUAUUGUCUGUGCGUAUAAGAGCCAUUCAAAUUUUAAUAACAGUAUUCUUCCAUUUACUUAGCUAUGUUAACUGCAGUUCUCCAAUUCCCAAUUUCUUUCCUUUUGAUUUCUACUUCUCAGGUGAGGGUGCUGUUUAGGUAAGGGGGUGAUGUCUGUACAAAAACAAAACACUAUUUUAAGUCACUCAUAUUGAAAAACAUUUGAACAAAUACAUGCCCUAUAACCCACACUUACACACUCAUGUAUCAAUCUGAUCGAUGGAUUGUGUUGUGCAGUAAGCAGGUUCAGGUGUAUAACUGUGGCUCCUUCCACCUUCAAAGAAUAGGCAAGAGGGCCUAUGCUAUAUUGCUUGUCCUCGUGUGUCUGUGCAUGUUUUUCAGUAUAAAGUACUCUGAAGCCACUUAGUGUGGACGCCCGGUGAGGCUACACACACAGAUACCUGUUGAACACAGUCUCUUUAACUACCUUAUUUUCUCAAUAACAGUCUCUCUCCCUCACUUCAUCCCUCCCCCGUCUCCCUAAAUCCCCUAGGUUAUAUCAGCUACGUCGGUGAACUGGCUACAUAGAGGGCAUAGCAGGACCAGAGGUAUGUUUUGAUGUGAGAGAGGAUGCCAACCCCCAGUCCCAUCAUCGCCACCUCACCCGCUCUUAAGAUAAACUUUGGGCCAACUGGGGGCCCAAGGCUGGUUAGGAGACACCGCUAGAGACACUAUUAUGUAAUUGGGAUGAACUGAGUGAAUAUUAGAGUAGCACUGUGAUUCAUUAAUCAUAUGCUGUCUUCCUUGCUCCUCUGUUCUUACCUCUUUCCCUUUCUGUUACACUCUUCACACCUCUCUCCCCACCUCUUUCUUCCUCUGUUUUAUAAUGCACACCAGAUGUGCAUUGAAG
ensembl:lncRNA